CUAAGGAAGCCUCAAUUCUAGGGAACUGCUGAUGAAGGGUUAUACUGUCUAAAACACCGGGUAAGAGGAGGCACGGCAUAAGCAAGUUGGAGCGAGGAAAGGGGUGAUGGUGGUUAGAAGAAAGGGGGUCUAGGGGCCCCUUGGCCAUCUCACUAUAUGGGGAAAAUGAGGACAAGUGACCCAGACAGAGUUCUUCAACUUUAGCUCUCUCUACAAUCGCAGACUUCUGCGGAUGUGCCUUUCCUGUUUUCGCAAAGGCGAAAAUCAGUCUGCUGGGGUUGAGCGAGGUCCCCCUAGGAAGAGUGGGCCUGGGUGGUGACUCCUUUGCGCUUCUUCACCUCCAGCACUUUCCCCUUCAACGCGCUCACCCCGUGCCCCCUGUACCCCGAAUUCCACCCAGCGCAAACCUUCCACGGUCAGCUCAUGGGGACUGCGGGAGGCUCCCCUGAGCCCCCGGGGUCCCGCGUCGGGCACCUGUUCCCGGCCUGCAGCCGAGCAGCUCCGUCCCCGGCCUGCGGGGACCCAGAGUCACUUUCCAGGAGUUGCGUGGGACUCCGAGGCGACGCACCUGCGGCUCCGAUCCCGGCCGCUGCCCGCCCGCCCCGUCGGGCCGGGGACGCCUCACCUCGGGCGGCAGAGGAAGGUGGCUGUCCCUCGGCGUCGCGCGGCCCCGCCACCCCAGACAGCCGGGGCGAGCUUUCGGUGGGGGGCAGCGUCCGGGCCUCGACCGCCUCCGGGGCCGCAACGGGGAGCGAGAGCUGGGCGAUCCCGCGAGACUGCGCCGCCAGGUCGGGCGGGCAGGUUGGGGCUCGCGGCGGCGGGACCGGCCCUGCGCCCCGCCCAGCCCAGCCGGCCGCGGUGCGGGGGCCGCCGAGCUGUCGCCUCCGCUCGCACCGCGGACCCAGGCGUGAGACCCAGGCCGUUGGGGAAGUGCCCUGCAGAGCACACUUUCCGUUCUGGAAGCGAGGAGCCUUAGCCGCGGGGAUCUGCUCUGUAGUGGCUUCUUGCCACUUCUGCUGACUCGGACUGGCUGGCAAGGCUGGAGGUUUCUUCUGCAUGAACUGCCGUUGCUGAUUUGUGGGUGGUGGAUGCCAGUGGAUGGAGCUACUCUGCUGAUCUGUGUGACCUGAACUACUGAGACCCUGACUACAAAGACUGGAAUCGCCCCAAAGAACUAUUUCCAAACAGGUCCACAUCCCCCUAUGCCCUCUUAACCUUUCCUUCCCACGACCCCUGGUGGGUGGUGGGCUAGGAGGGAGGUUAAAGGGUUUAAGAACCCUCAUUAAAAGUAGGUUUUGAAAAAAAUCUAAGCCUACACAAACUACGUGAUUUAGAGGGGAAAUGCCAUAAGUUUAUUUCUACAGAAGUGCAGUCUAUUUUUAUCCUUAAUUGCUUUUAAUUAUAGUGAGUAGUGAUGAAGUAAAAUGAUUUGGGGACAUUAGAGAGUGGAUGUGGAACUUUCAGGCAAUUAUCUGUAUUAUCCUUGACUUUCAAUAUAAAGUUUAUUUCAAUGGCAUGAGAUUAAAGUGUGACCCUGAGAGGUCAGAGUUGUUGGUUUUGAAGCCCAGCUCCAGAACCUGGAGUGAACCUGGGCAGUGUUCAGCCCCUGUCUGUGUAAGUUUCAUCAUCUGUAAUACAGAUUUUUUUCCAACUGUG